AAAAGUUAGAAAGUCCCUUUCUCAGCCUGGCACUUGAAGGAGUCAGAGCUCUUCAUUUCUCAGUCUCAAGGUUGUUUAUUGUAUCUUAUCUAUAAAAUUCUUUCUCCUGCCCUGCCAAGGUCUGUCCAGCAGGACAGUUCCAGGCACCCUGCCUGCCCCCAGGGUGGUGUUAUGUCUUUAUACUAAAAACUUCAAUAUUUACAAUUACUUUCCAAUACCCAUCACCUGUGUUAGACAGUGAGCUUCUACUCUAAACCAAUCUGUAAGUGCCAACAUCACAGCACAAGAUGGAGGCCAAGAAGAAGAAGGAGAAAGGCUGGACAUCUCCAGUUCCCUCCAUCUUGCCCCCUGAACCCCCAUACCAAAAACCCCAAAAUCUGCUUUUCCACCCCAUGACAACUUCACUGUCAUUCUACCUAAACUGUUGUGGCUUGCAGAUCUUCAUCUAAGGUUGGUAAUUUGCUCCAUGAGUCAUAAUCAAACCCAGGGGUGUUUUGGGCUCCAUGCCAGGGUCUCUGAGCCCCCUGGCAGGGUCCUGGCCAUCCUGGACAGCCAGAGGGAUGUCCUGGGUUCCCACACAAGCUGACCAGGCUGCUCCAGGACUCCCUGAGGGGGAACACCAGGACCCUGAUGGUGGCAUGAGUGUCCCCAGCUGAUGACAGCUACGAGGAAAGCCUCAGCACCCUGUGCUAUGCAAGUCGGGCCAGGAACAUCAGGAACAAGCCCUGCAUCAACCAGGACCCCAAGGACGCCCUGCUGAGGGAGUACCAGGAGGAGAUUGAGAAGCUGAAGGCUGUUCUGGCUGAACAGAUGGGCACGAGUGACUUGUCAGGGCUUCUACCUGCUGAGGCUGCUCACCUGGAGCAAAUCCAGCUCCCUGCCUCAAUCCCCAGGUGGAUCUGGAAGAAGAGAAGCAGCUGAUCAGAGCACUGACACAUGGACUAGAACAAUCUCUGACCACACACCUUCACAUGAAGAUGCUGUUGCUGCAGCACAUGAAGAGCCAACAUCAGCCCAGGCUCCUUCUCCCCUCAGGAUGAAUAACCCUGAGAAUUUGUGGGCAAUUCUGUCUGUUAAGGGAGAGAUCUCCAAAGAAACCCUUCAUUUGGAUUUGAUAUCAACAUUACCUGAGUGGGUAAUGUUGUGCUUCAUCUCCCCCAAUAAUCCUGUUUCAGGGGCACUGAAAUAGGGCUGGGAUAUGAGGGAUGCAGGCUUGGACUUGUGCUCAGCCCAAAUCAAAAUCAACCUGGCUCAAGGUUUUCUCUGUGUGAGAGAAUUCCCUCAGCCAGAGCACACCACCACUUAUUGGGGCAGCAUGGGGGCUUGGGCUGCUCCAGAAAUACAGGAUUGAAGCAAAUUCUGAUUUUUCACUUCCUCCAUUGUGUGGAACUAGAUACAAUUAGAAAAGCUCAAGCCAAGAUGUGCUGUGACAGUCUGAUUCUGAACAGUUCUGUGGGUUUUAAGCUGUCCUUCUGUGGGUUUUAACCAGUCCUUCUGUGGGUUUUAACCUGUUCUUCUGUGGGUUUUAACCAGUCUUUCAGCUUCCCUGUGGUGUGUGCUCACUCUGUUGGGUCUCUCCUGGCUCAAAAAGGAGCUGCUAUGAAAUGCAGAACAGCAGUGCCUGUAAUUUGUGGGUAAUUCUGUCUGUUAAGGGAGAGAUCUCCAAAGAAACCCUUCAUUUGGAUUAGAUAUCAAAUGUUAGUGCUCCUAUUGUAAAAAUAAAUCCUUUUGUGGCAAACA
ensembl:lncRNA